UGGAUAAUCUGCCUCGGAGACCGGAAUAACUUCGGGAAACUGGAGCUAAUGCCGGAUACCCUUCCUGGACCGCAUGGCCUAGGAAGGAAAGGAUCCCGCUUCGAGAGGAGUCCGCGGCCUAUCAGGUAGUUGGUGAGGUAACGGCUCACCAAGCCUACGACGGGUAGCCGGCCUGAGAGGGUGAACGGCCACAUUGGAACUGAGACACGGUCCAGACUCCUACGGGAGGCAG
rnacentral:rRNA from 1 species